AUUGAACGCUGGCGGGAGGCCUAACACAUGCAAGUCGAACGAGUGGCGGACGGGUGAGUAAUGUCUGGGAACCUGCCUGAUGGAGGGGGAUAACUACUGGAAACGGUAGCUAAUACCGCAUACCAUCGGAUGUGCCCAUAUGGGAUUAGCUAGUAGGUGGGGUAACGGCUCACCUAGGCGACGAUCCCUAGCUGGUCUGAGAGGAUGACCAGCCACACUGGAACUGAGACACGGCCCAGACUCCUACGGGAGGCAGCAGUGGGGAAUAUUGGACAAUGGGCGCAAGCCUGAUGCAGCCAUGCCGCGUGUAUGAAGAAGGCCUUCGGGUUGUAAAGUACUUUCAGCGGGGAGGCGGUACCCGCAGAAGAAGCACCGGCUAACUACGUGCCAGCAGCCGCGGUAAUAC
rnacentral:rRNA from 1 species